CUACGGGCCGCUCCAGUGGGGAAUAUUGGACAAUGGGGGCAACCCUGAUCCAGCAAUGCCGCGUGUGUGAAGAAGGCCUGCGGGUUGUAAAGCACUUUCGGUUGGGAGGACUGCUUCUAGCACUAAUAUUGUUGGAAGUUGACGUUACCUUCAGAAGAAGCACCGGCUAACUCCGUGCCAGCAGCCGCGGUAAUGCGGAGGGUGCAAGCGUUAAUCGGAAUUACUGGGCGUAAAGCGCGCGUAGGCGGCUAGAUCAGUCGGGUGUGAAAGCCCCGGGCUUAACCUGGGAACUGCAUCCGAUACUGUCUAGCUUGAGUACAGGAGAGGGGAGUGGAAUUCCACAUGUAGCGGUGAAAUGCGUAGAUAUGUGGAGGAACACCAAUGGCGAAGGCAGCUCUCUGGCCUGAUACUGACGCUGAGGUGCGAAAGCGUGGGGAGCAAACAGGAUUAGAUACCCCUGUAGUC
rnacentral:rRNA from 1 species